rnacentral:rRNA from 1 species
ACGGAAGGCAGCAGUGGGGAAUAUUGCACAAUGGGGGAAACCCUGAUGCAGCGACGCCGCGUGAAGGAUGAAGUAUUUCGGUAUGUAAACUUCUAUCAGCAGGGAAGAAAAUGACGGUACCGACUAAGAAGCCCCGGCUAACUACGUGCCAGCAGCCGCGGUAAUACGUAGGGGGCAAGCGUUAUCCGGAUUUACUGGGUGUAAAGGGAGCGUAGACGGCAAAGCAAGUCUGAAGUGAAAUGCCGGGGCUUAACCCCGGAACUGCUUUGGAAACUGUUUAGCUAGAGUGCAGGAGAGGUAAGCGGAAUUCCUAGUGUAGCGGUGAAAUGCGUAGAUAUUAGGAGGAACACCAGUGGCGAAGGCGGCUUACUGGACUGUAACUGACGUUGAGGCUCGAAAGCGUGGGAGCAAACAGGAUUAGAUACCCUGGUA